UGAAAUUGGGAAUUUGAUUUCCAUAUAACUUGUUUCACAAUCAAUAAUAUAUAUACACCCACAUAACUCCUUCACCCACAUCUUAUUUCUCGAACCACACCCUCAACCGUUCCGUUACCAUGAACCACCACUCGCCUACAACUAUGACAACCGCCACAUAUCCACCACUCACCACCACACAUAGCCACACCGUGACCGCAACAGCUUUAUCGUGGCCACCAUCACUCCCAAACCAGAUUGUUGUCACCUUCAGUUACCGUCACCAAUGACGCCGUAUUGGUUUGUGCUUGAUUGCCGCAAUACAUUACCGUCAUCCGAGCACCAAUACCCUUGUUGUGAAACGUUUGGUCACUGCUUGCAUUUCCCAUAGAUGACCCUCGUCACCGUAAGGUGUUCAAAUAUAGUUUUCCAUUUCGUCGAGUUGGCGUUACGCAUUAAGGUAAUCUGGGAUACUAUGGGAUUUCAGUGAGGAGCGUUAGGAAGUUGCUGACCAAGAAUCUUUAUUUUAGUAACGUAAUAAAAUGUAAUUAGGAUCUUUUAUUUAAUGUUAUGGAUUGGUUUUUAGUUUUGAUAUCUGUAAGAGUGACACGUCAGCCCUAUUCGGGUCGGGGUGUUACAAUCUUCCUUCAUGCUCACCGGAAACUUUCUUCAUCCACCGGUAUAAUGGGAAGCAGGAAGGAAUAAUAACAACAAUAAUAAAUUUGUUCAUGCUCACCGUACAAUCAGUAUGUUCCAAUUUUCAACUACAUGGGUCCAUCAAGUUCAUUUUGUGGAUCAGUAUCUUCCUUGGUGCAAUUGAAGUUUCAUCCUUUGUAUUAAUUUACUGCAUCAAGUUCACUUCUAUAGCAGAGAUGAAGACAAAACAAGCUUAUGAUGAAUAUGUAACUUUAUUUUCUUUAUGUUCGUAGAUUUUAUACAUUUUUUGUUUGUAAAUUUGUAUAAGUUUAUGAUUAAUGUUAUUGAAUUUGUAUAGUUUUUAGUUUUA